UUGAAGAUGAUGAGAAGUAUGUUGGGUC
rnacentral:sRNA from 1 species